AAUUCUCAACCUUUUCAACUUUUUCUGUUGAUCAGGCUUGGAUGUGGGAGUAUGCGGGCUUCUCAGAAGUCGGCUCUCCUGAAAUGCAUUAGCGGGACCUUUGUUGCCUGGCUUUGGUGUGAUAAUUAUCUACGCCAUUGUGAAGAGCAGCUUUAUAAAGGAGGUUCAGCUUCUAAUCGUCUCUUUCGAGACAACUUCUGACA
rnacentral:misc_RNA from 1 species